GAUGAACGCUGGCGGCGUGCCUAACACAUGCAAGUCGAACGGAGAUUACGGACGGAAGUUUUCGGAUGGAAGCCUGUAAUUCUUAGUGGCGGACGGGUGAGUAACGCGUGGGCAACCUGCCCUAUACAGGGGGAUAGCAGCUGGAAACGGCUGGUAAGACCGCAUAAGUCGGUUAAAUCGCAUGAUUUGAUCGGGAAAUGAGCAAUCAGGUAUAGGAUGGGCCCGCGUCCGAUUAGCCAGUUGGCAGGGUAAAAGCCUACCAAAGCGACGAUCGGUAACCGGACUGAGAGGUCGGACGGCCACAUUGGGACUGAGACACGGCCCAAACUCCUACGGGAGGCAGCAGUGGGGGAUAUUGCACAAUGGAGGAAACUCUGAUGCAGCGACGCCGCGUGAGUGAAGAAGUAUUUCGGUGUGUAAAGCUCUAUCAGCAGGGAAGAUGAUGACGGUACCUGACUAAGAAGCCCCGGCUAACUACGUG
rnacentral:rRNA from 1 species